UGAAACGAUUACAUACAUUUUUGGGCCC
rnacentral:sRNA from 1 species